rnacentral:tRNA from 1 species
CACGCCCGCUGGCGCAGGAGUAUCGGGGCUGGCAUUUCCGAGCCAAGCCUGCUGGCCUGGGCUGCGUUGGGUUCGCUCGGGCGGGG